CAGCGUCCCCAGAUCUGGAGAGCCACCAGGAGUACAACAACAAGCGUGAGAGGCGGCGACCGCGGGACAAGCACUAUCCUCGACCAGAUCGGUGUCUGGCACAGGGGCUCGGGGUGGUUGUGGCGGCGGCCUCUUCAGCGGUGUCACCCAACGAGCUCCACGCGCGGGGGAGGCAUCUCCACUGCCCACGCCAUCACGUUCCCUCGCCGAUGCCGGCCUCGUCGCAGAAGAGGGCUAGCCCGCCCGUGCCUCCGGUCAAGUUGCGUUUGGAGGUGAGGGGGGCAACCGCGCCUAGAGGAGGUUGUCCCCAAUGCCCGAAUCCUCUCAUCGUUGAACUUGCCCACAUAGUAGGUCACCGCCGCUGGCUGAAUUCGCCCAGGUCGGCACCAUGCCCGUCUGCCCGCAACUCAUCCUUCCUGAAGAUGAGCAGAUAGGUAUCAUGAAGCUUCCUCCUUUCAGGUCAACCAUUUCCCAUUAUGUUUUCCGUUCAAUUUAUGAUUUUGUGGUGAUAUGGACAAAAUCUCCAUCUUUCUUUUUGGAUAUUAUACUUUUUCUAUGGCUACAAGGUGUUUAAUAAUAAUUCAACCAGGCAGCUGUAGAGGUUCACUGAAUAAUUUUUCCGUUGACAUCCUUAACUAGCUACUAGAGAUGUAUUACUGUAUUAUAUCAAUAUGUUGCAAUUUUCUUAAAUUCUGAUGUUCUGUGCACGAAUUGGAUCACUUCUGUUGGGCCUUCUUGUUGGUUGGUAAUAUACUGGUUCUUUUUGUGUAGGAUUAUUUGGUGUAGCAAGAAUGAUAGAGUUCUAGGCUGAAGCAAAGAAUGGACAGGGAAAUGGUUGCCUCAUAUGACCAAACUGAAUUUUGAAAUAAUAAUUUUUUGAGAGUUCAGAUGAGAUAGUAACAAAUCUGGCUAGGUAUAUCUCGCAAGUUUCAGAAAUCUCUGCUAAAUAAAGUGGAUUCUUCACCAGUGCCCUAUCUGGAGGGCCCCUUGUCAUUUUUUGCGACAAUGAAUUUUCUAUUCUUUGUUAGCCAUAUGCCAUAUUGUUUCUACACACUGAUUUCAAUACAGUAUGCUUUAUUACAUUUGAAGUAUCUUGUUUUUAAUUUAUGAAAGGAAACUUUGUGAAGCAUCGUACAACAAUACCCUGGAUUGGUUUAAAUGGUAUAUAUUUUUGGUCUGAUGAAUGUGCUAUAGCAAAGAACCAUGCAAGCAGUAACUAUAAGUUAACAAAAGAAGGAUUUCUAUCAAAGCUAUGUGGACUUUAGGAGGAAAUUCGCAAUACAGUCUAAAGCAAAACUACGGAUGUCCAUGGGUUUUCCCCUCAACAUUUUGCUUGUUUUGCAUCUAUUAGUUUCUGGAUAUUUUUUUGCGUGAGUUUCAUUUACUCUAUGCUUAUGAGAUGAUAGUUAUACCUUGCAUGCGAUCCAUGAUACAUAAUGUUGUUUCUUCACACUAUUUCUGUUAAAACCUACACUUGUUCAGUAUAUGAACUCAAGUAGCCAAUAGCAAUAGGGUCAUUCAGGUUUUCCUUUUUCUCUUAUAGUAUAUGAAGUGCAUAUAUUUUUAAAUCAUUACAUUGAUGUCGCCGACAGUGCCGCCAUACAUGUUCCUUCCGUCGUUGUCGUCUAAAGGUAGAUAAAAUGCUCGAUUAGAUGAUCCCAGGUCUCUCUCUCUCAUCAAAUUUGAGAACAUGUUUUCAGGUCUUACAACAUAUAUAUCACACGAUCAUCUAUUAUUAUGGUCACAAUUUGAUCUCAUGACAGAAAUUAAAUGAAGGGGGGCAACUGGUUGGAGGAGGGAAACAAGUAAUAUAUUUUUCCUUCCUUUAUUUGCACCCUCUAAAAGGAUGCCAUUCCUGUGGUAGGUUGGUGAGUAACCAAGGUAUGUAUAAGAUAACAAUGGGUUUCCUAGACAAGUAUGGUCCUGAUAGAGUUCUCGAUACACCAAUCACAUAGGUUAUAAACUUAAACCCUUAAAGUAAUCAUUCGUAUAUGUCGUAAGUUGUAAGAUUUGUAUGAUAAGUUUUGGAGUUUAUGUAGUGCCAAUAUGCUUUUGUUUUGUUCAAGCUGGUUUUACUGACAUUGACGUGGUGCUGCCUACCAUGGUUAGGCUUGUAGUAUAGUUCAUGAAAUUUAACUUGCCGGUGCAUAAUUAUGAGAUGAUAGUCAUUUCACUUUCAAAAAUUCCUUAAAAUGUCAGUUUAUUGAAUAACCUCAUUAUAUGGCUGCGUUGAUAUUUCUCACUACUAGUGUUCUAAGCAGCUUAAGUUACAAUGGUUGUGCUGACACUAUGUACUUCUUGGAAGGAGGGCCCGAUGCAUGAAAAGAUAUAUUAUGCUUAUUACUAUAGUUAGUGCGUAGACAAGCUUUGCGUUAGUGACUGCAUUCACCAACUAACUAUCCUGUAUUGUUAGAAGCCAUUCAUGUGAUAUCAUUUGCUAAGAAGCGUUGAAAAUGCUAAGGAAGAUGACGAGAGCUUGCUGAUGAUAUUGGGGUCAUUAAAUUAAUCAGGCAACACUUAUUUGCUACUCCCCGUUCCAUAAUAUAAGAUAUUAUUAUUACAACCUAUUACCACAGAUCCUCGUGUUUUGUUCGACAACAACCGUGAUGGAACCGUUGACAUGAGGGAGGUCCUUUGCGGGCUGUCCAGCCCGGGGAACUCACAGGGCGAUGAUGUCGUGGGCUCUACUUUUAGAUGUACGAUGCCGAUCGAUCAAACAUCAACAACAAGUAGGAGCUGGCAUCGAUGCUUCGAGGUUUUUGAUUAUUCUAAGAACAACCUUUUGGAGUUUGGAUUACUCCGAGUAAUGAUUGUAGGAGCUGGGAGUGCUCUCCAUGCCCUGCUAUGACUGCUUGCACUACAUUAGUCUCCCAACACAGGAACGAAAUAACCAAACUUGUAGGAUUCUCUUGGCAACGUUGUGUCUUUGUCGGUGAAAUUAGAGAAGACUGCAAAAAUGAACAGAUAAGG